GACGAACGCUGGCGGCGUGCUUAACACAUGCCAGUCGAACGGAAAGGCCGUGCUUUUGUGGGGUGCUCGAGUGGGGAACGGGUGAGUAACACGAGAGUAACCUGCCCUUGACUUUGGGAUAACUUCAGGAAACGGGGGCUAAUACCGGAUAGGAGCUGCUGCUGGAGGGAGGGGGUUGGAAAGUUUCGGCGGUUGGGGAUGGACUCGCGGCUUAUCAGCUUGUUGGUGGGGGAGUGGCUUACCAAGGCUUUGGCGGGUAGCCGGCCUGAGAGGGUGACCGGCCUCCUUGGGCCUGAGGUACGGCCCAGACUGCAACGGGAGACAGCAGUGGGGAGUCUUACACAAUGGGCGGAAGCCUGAGGCAGCAACGCCGCGUGCGGGAUGACGGCCUUCGGGUUAUAAACCGCUUUCGCUUGUGACGAAGCGUGAGUGACGGUAAUGGGUAAAUAAGCACCGGCUAACUACGUG
rnacentral:rRNA from 1 species